AUUGAACGCUGGCGGCAGGCCUAACACAUGCAAGUCGAACGAGUGGCGGACUGGUGAGUAAUGUCUGGGCAACUGCAUGAUGGAGGGGGAUAACUACUGGAACCGGUAGCUAAUACCGCAUACCAUCAGAUGUGCCCUGAUGGGAUUAGCUAGUUGGUGGGUUAACGGCUCACCAAGGCGACCAUCCCUAGCUGGUCUGAGAGGAUGACCAGCCACACUGGAACUGAGACACGGUCCAGACUCCUACGGGAGGCAGCAGUGGGGAAUAUUGGACAAUGGGCGAAAGUCUGACGCAGCCAUGCCGCGUGUAUGAAGAAGGCCUUCGGGUUGUAAAGUACUUUCAGCGGGGAAGCGUUAUCCGCAGAAGAAGCACCGGCUAACUCCGUGCCAGCAGCCGCGGUAAUAC
rnacentral:rRNA from 1 species